GGGCCGGUAGUUCAGUUGGGAGAAUACUACGUUCGCAACGUAGGGGUCGGGAGUUCGAAUCUCCUCCGGUCCA
rnacentral:tRNA from 1 species